CAAUCAGAAUGCCAAUCAAAAAAUAGUUGACCCUCACAUUAACCGCUAGUGGCUGCUCAGGAUGUAGGGGGAAUGAUGUCACUGAGAAGUAGGAAUGGACCCGAAUGAGGAGCAAGUGCAACAUGGUUGCGUAUUAUAAAGACAAAGUUUGUCAGCUGAAAUGGAGCCACAAUCGUAAUACUGAUUGAACCACAUCAUAACUGUUUUG
rnacentral:lncRNA from 1 species